rnacentral:rRNA from 1 species
ACAAACGCUGGCGGCGUGCCUAACACAUGCAAGUCGAACGCGAAAAUCGGCUUCGGCCGAUGAGUAAAGUGGCGCACGGGUGAGUAACGCGUGGAUAAUCUACCCUUCAGUUGGGAAUAACUUAUCGAAAGGUGAGCUAAUACCGAAUAAAACUGCCUGACCACGGUCGGGUAGUCAAAGAUAGCCUCUGCUUGCAAGCUUUCGCUGAAUGAUGAGUCCGCGUACCAUUAGCUAGUUGGUGGGGUAAUGGCCUACCAAGGCGACGAUGGUUAGCUGGUCUGAGAGGAUGAUCAGCCACACUGGAACUGAGACACGGUCCAGACUCCUACGGGAGGCAGCAGUGAGGAAUCUUGCGCAAUGGGGGAAACCCUGACGCAGCAACGCCGCGUGAGUGAGGAAGGUCUUCGGAUCGUAAAGCUCUGUCGGGUGGAAAGAAAUGUAUGGGGUUAAUAGCCUUCAUACUUGACGGUACCACCAAAGGAAGCACCGGCUAACUCCGUG